rnacentral:rRNA from 1 species
GGACUACCGGGGUAUCUAAUCCCGUUUGCUCCCCUGGCUUUCGCGCCUCAGCGUCAGAAGGGGUCCAGCCCGUCGCUUUCGCCACCGGCGUUCCUUCGGAUAUCAACGCAUUUCACCGCUCCACCCGAAGUUCCACAGGCCCCUACCCCACUCGAGGCUGCUAGUUUCCAAGGCACUUUUCCGGUUGAGCCGAAAGAUUUCACCCCGGACUUAACAGCCCGCCUACGCGCCCUUUAAGCCCAGUGAAUCCGAACAACGUUAGGACGGUUCGUCUUACCGCGGCUGCUGGCAC